AUACGAAGGGUGCAAGCGUUACUCGGAAUUACUGGGUGUAAAGGGCGUGUAGGCGGAGCAGCAAGUCAGAAGUGAAAUCUCCGGGCUUAACCCGGAAACUGCUUUUGAAACUGUUGCCCUUGAGUAUCGGAGAGGCAGGCGGGAUUUCCACUUUAGGGGUGUAAAGCGUAGAUAUUAGGAGGAACACCAGUGGCGAAGGCGGCCUGCGGGACGACAACUGACGCUGAGGCGCGAAAGCGUGGGGAGCAAACAGGAUUAGAUACCCUGGUAGUCCACGCCGUAAACGAUGGAUACUAGGUGUGGGGGGACUGACCCCCUCCGUGCCGCAGUCAACACAAUAAGUAUCCCACCUGGGGAGUACGAUCGCAAGAUUGAAACUCAAAGGAAUUGACGGGG
rnacentral:rRNA from 1 species